GGGUGAGAGGGAGAACCUGCCGCCGCUCGCCGCCUCUUUGUCUGCUCCGGGACUGGGAACAAAGGGGGGAACUCUGAUGAACUCUCCUCCCCUCGCCCCGGACGCCCGGGUAUCUCAGUCUCGCAACUUUGCCGCCGCGACUUUCUGCGCUGUCAGGCCACACAAAAGUGUCCGCGCGCCUUGCGGACUGCAACGGGGGACGUCUCUGAAAAGUGCGACCAAGUGGGGAGAAGGUGUUAUUAUUAUUAUCAGCAUCUAGAAAACAUCAUUCGGUGCAUUGUUCUUGUGGGCUCCUUCUAAGAGUGAACAUUAUGGAAGCACCAAUAUGUCAUUGCUGGAUGAAAAGUUGUCAAACUUCUGGAGUAACGUAAAAGUUAAAAUGUUGGAAUUGUUUGUGAUGCCUCCCUUAUGUGGAUUACUACAAUUUGAUCACUGGGAACUCUCCACCUUAAAGAAGUACUCUCAGGAGACUUCAGAAGCACCAACACCCGCAUGUUCAGGUGUGAAUCAUGAUGACAGUGAAAGACGGUGAUUUACUACUUUGGGGGGCAUGUGUGUGUAUGAUUAAGGGAUGUGAGUGCAGGACUCCAAGAUUUACUUCCUUCCUGUUCCAGCGGGAUGGCCAAGGAGAGUGAGUAAUGGGAUAAUUUAUACCGCCGCAGGCCCUUCGUCAAGAGACCUCUAGUCAAAACAGGAAGAUAAAACUCAGAUUUCAACUGGGAGAAUACAACUUUUGAUACUCUCUGAGCACUUCUUCUUUGCAAGCAGUAGUCUUCAGAAUUUUUGUUUCACUUUUUCAAGGAGGUUUCCAUGAAAAAGAGCCUUGUCCAUAUGUCAGGCUAUGAUGAAGCCACUGCCUCAAAUGAAGUCAAAGGGUGGAGCAUGAAGUUGAUCAUGACAUUGUUGCCUAGAACUGAACCUGAGCCCCUUCUGUAAGCUGAUCCAGCUCAUGUCGGCCUGACACAUGAACCAUGCAAAGCUUCUUUUUAAAGAGAUUUUAAUUCCUGCUUGACAGGCUAGGCUGAAGCCUGUGAGCGACAAUAGGUACAAUUGUCUGGUGGCAUUAUUUCCUCUUCACAUUCCAUGGACAUCAGAUCUUGAUUUGGAAGGUUUUCACAAAAUGUUCAGUAUCUGACUUAAUAUCAAAAUUACCAGUGAAGGUUAUCCUGCUAUCCUCCCUGAACAGCCUUCCCAGCUGCCCCUGACCCAUGCAUGGCUGCCCUCUGUUGUCCAGUCCACCAGAUGGCCUCAAAACUAACAGACCCAAAAGGGAAAUGGCUAAUGCUUUUGAAGCCUUUCUGACACUUCUCAUGGACACAGCCAUCUGAGAGAUGAGAAGCUCAGGCAGAGGAAAACACAGAAAUCAUCCUUGGUGCCCAUCCUGAGCCAGCUCCUAACAGAGAUGCCUGCAUUCUCAAUGUGGAUCCUGCCUUCACUCACUGGUUUUUGU